rnacentral:rRNA from 1 species
UACGUAGGGUGCGAGCGUUGUCCGGAAUUAUUGGGCGUAAAGAGCUUGUAGGCGGUUUGUCGCGUCUGCUGUGAAAUUUCGGGGCUCAACCCCCGAACUUGCAGUGGGUACGGGCAGACUAGAGUGUGGUAGGGGAGACUGGAAUUCCUGGUGUAGCGGUGAAAUGCGCAGAUAUCAGGAGGAACACCGAUGGCGAAGGCAGGUCUCUGGGCCACUACUGACGCUGAGAAGCGAAAGCAUGGGGAGCGAACAGG